rnacentral:rRNA from 1 species
UUCGGUCGGGAACUCAAAGGAGACUGCCAGUGAUAAACUGGAGGAAGGUGGGGAUGACGUCAAGUCAUCAUGGCCCUUACGACCAGGGCUACACACGUGCUACAAUGGCGCAUACAAAGAGAAGCGACCUCGCGAGAGCAAGCGGACCUCAUAAAGUGCGUCGUAGUCCGGAUUGGAGUCUGCAACUCGACUCCAUGAAGUCGGAAUCGCUAGUAAUCGUGGAUCAGAAUGCCACGGUGAAUACGUUCCCGGGCCUUGUACACACCGCCCGUCACACCAUGGGAGUGGGUUGCAAAAGAAGUAGGUAGCUUAACCUUCGGGGGGGCGCUUACCACUUUGUGAUUCAUGACUGGGGUGAAGUCGUAACAAGGUAACCGUAGGGGAACCUGCGGUUGGAUCACCUCCUUACCUUAAAGAAGC